CUGUGUCUUGCUUUAACUGUGUUUGAACGGAACAG
rfam:Mus musculus chromosome 10, GRC primary reference assembly.